rnacentral:misc_RNA from 1 species
GCAUAUAUGUUUUCUACUCGAGUGGUUGGCCUAAUUUUAUUAUUUUUAUUUAUUUAAUUUUUUUUAGGAAAAGAGUAUAAUUCCAAUUCUACUUGGUAAUUUGCCAAUCUCCCUCUCUACUGUCCAAGCAUAUUGCUUUCUCAGUUUCCUCCUUGGUUUUUCUCUUUUCAGCUUUUACAGGGUUAUUUCGAUAAUUCAUUUUCUGCUAUAUUCGAUCACACUUCAACAACAGUACUUGUCACCUGUUUGCCUCUGCAAAUUCUUGGUCUUUCAAGAAUUCAUUUUUCAAGAUAUGGGAAAUGAGGAAGAAGCCAUGACCAAUGACUCCAUGGAAGCAGAUUCCAGCCACCCAGUUGAUCCUCCAUUUCAAAGGGUUGCGGGUUCACCAGAAAUAACUGAGGAAAUGACAGAGGGUUCUCUACAGAGCCCGCAAGACCUUGUGUUAGAGAUACCAUCAAGAACUCUGGAGGAUAUAAGAGAAGAUUUUGUGUCAAUUCAAAUGCCUGCAACACCGAGUCUUACUCCCAAAAGGGUAAAUUUUUCUCCCAUCCCCAGCCCCAGCUUUAUCAAAAUGAAUGAUUCCCCAGACCCCUUUACAUCAAAAAGUAAAUCAACCAUAAGAAGUCUCCUUCCAAAGUUAAGUUUCAAAUAUCGGAGCACUACGUCGGAUAUUGAGAAUGCUGCUAUAUUAGCACUAGGAGGUUCUUCUGCGGCAAUAGAGAAGAAGCCUUUCCUUUCUAGGACACUGUCUUUCACAAGGUUUUUUACUCCCAGGACGAAGAGAACAUCAUCCUUACCUGUUACCCCUAUUUCUCACUCUAAUCCAGAGUCUACGCAUGGAGGGCAUGCAUACAAUCCAUCAAGUUCUGCUGUGAGUAUUAACCUUGCUUAAAUGUUAGAACAUCAUGAUCUGUUUAAGAACAGAGUUGUCAUAUUAGUAGUCCAGUGAUAAGCAUCAUUACAGUGAAAAUAUUUGACUACAUCGCUUCACUUAUUGUGUGAAUGCCAUAUUCUAUUUGAUUAUUUACAACAAUCACAAUAUUGCACUUGAGCCAAAACAUUAAAAUUCACUUUCUGAUCACAAUGCUUCAUAUUGUUUUUACUGAUUAAUUAAUGUUUAAGUCUUGCCACAUUGGAAACUCCACUUGCUAACUUAAACUGUGUUCCAGAACUACCAGGAAGUUGCAUGAUUUUGUCCUUUUAAAAUCAUCAUACCCCGCAGGGAUGGGAUCAUGGGAAUGCACCACUCAUUGAAGGGUUCUCUGGUCUUUUCUAUUUUAAAUGCAACAUAUCUGCUGUUUUUUAGCAACCUCAAAGGAUCAGAAAGGUGUAUGAAAAUAUGAUCAAUUCCACCUUCCAUUUAAUUUUCCCAGUAGCUAGUUUGACUUGGCUUCUAAAUCCUAACAGUCCGGCUUUACACCAUACAAUACACAUUCUUCAUUGGCAGAGAACUAAACACCUGGAUCCCUAUUUUCCCUUAUCAAAUAUGGUUUGAUCAUGUCUUGAACUUAUGUAAAUAAAUAUCUAAUUAUGGCAUUUCCAAUGAUUCAACACUUUGUUAUUGUUAAGCAUCCUUUUCAUCUGAUGCAUUCCCUUGAUCUUUCAUCUAAUGAUGCUGCAUCCUUAUAUCUGAGUAAGUAAUACAACAUUAUUUAAUCACUAUUUAAACCAUAGACACAUUUAUGUUUGCCACUUGUUUGGUUUUUAUUUAUUUGUUUCUGUUUAUUUUUUAAAGUUGCAUUUUACAUACUUGCAAUUUGUUAUUCAAUUUUCCACUAGAUUCUCAAAGAUGUCCCAUGUUCCCACCUUACAGAAAGGAUUUGCCCAAAAACCAAUUCAUCGUUCACAUUCUGUCCCAGAAAUUAACAAAGAGGAAAGCAUAAGGCAGAUGGAUUCUUCAGGUGGCAUAUUUCGUGUGAUUCCAACAACUCCACGAGCUGCUGAGGUGACUGUCACAACAGCAUCAAAUAUGUCUCCUAGGGAUGAUAAUGGUAAAUUUAUUCCCAUAAUUGCCUCAACUUUAUUCUCAGAUGCACUACCCUUUCAGAAAAUGAAAAGGCUAUAGACAGAGAGAAGGCCAAGUUGGAUUUUGUUGUGAAUAACAGCCUCUUGUAUUAUGUAACCCAAUAAAACUUGAUACACUUGAGAUACAUAGAUAUUUUAGCUGGAUGUUUUUGGGAGUAAACUACAAAGUCAGAACAAAUUUAGCAUCGUCCGAGGAAAUUUAAUUUGUGGAACUACUUUAGCUCGUUAAUAAUUACUCUGUACAACUGGAAAUAUAAUAAUAACAAUAAUAAUGUUUUAGAUAUUACUAAUAGCUUGCAUUUUGAGCUGUCACCUACUGUUCUUACUGUUUUCACGUAACUUGCGAUAACCAACCUUUGCCUUAUCUUAGCCUUGUGGUUCAGAUGAAAAUGAUGAUAGUGGUGAAAAUAUUCCAGAAGAAGAAGCUGUUUGUAGAAUCUGCUUGAUUGAACUGGGGGAAGGUGCUGACACUCUCAAGAUGGAAUGCAGCUGCAAAGGUGAACUCGCGCUAGCCCACAAAGAAUGUGCUGUGAAAUGGUUUAGUAUAAAAGGUAACAAAACAUGUGAUGUGUGCAAGCAAGAUGUAAAGAACCUACCAGUUACUCUUUUACGAGUGCAAAAUCCUCGAGGAAAUGGAGCUCGGCCUAUUGAGGUUGCUCAAUACAGGCAAGUAAAUUAUUCUUCAUCUGCCACGCAUUGGAACUUGAUGCCCUUGGCUUUUCUCCAUUUCUUUCCGCAAGCUUUCUACUAAAUAUAAACAACAUUCGCUUUACUGAAGCAGUUAACUAGAUGUAUAAUAAAGUCCUGCUUGUAAGUCUCAUGAUUGAAAACUUUCUGUUUAUGGUAGUUAAGCAAUGAUUGACUUAUUAAGUCCAUUGGUGAUUGAGAAUGGGUCAAAAACUUGAAUUGAUCUUUUUGUUGGUUGUCUGCAUCUCUUUGCCAAUCAAGAAUAUUAAAAAUCUUUCACAAUUUAAUUAAAACAUUAAUUAGGCCGUGGAUAUGCUUGGAUUCCGUAAGGUCAUCUAGGGAGAUGGUUUAACCUAAUGCAAACUUUUCAGGGUGUGGCAGGAUGUUCCAAUUCUUGUCAUUGUCAGCAUGCUUGGUUACUUCUGUUUUCUUGAGCAGCUUUUGGUAAGUAGGGAAACUUGUAAACCCAGCUCUUCUUGCAUACCAUAGUUCCUAAUUUUUCAUGUCGACAGGUAGGGAAACUUGGGUCUGGUGCAAUUGCCAUUUCUCUUCCUUUUUCCUGUAUAAUGGGUCUUCUUGCAUCCAUGACAUCUACAACAAUGGGUAGGGCUAAGCUUGCAUCUGUGUGUAGAUAAAUGUUCUUUUUCAGUGGCUUUGAUGAUCUCAUUGUGUAUUUCUUUGCAAUUUGUGCUCAGUAAGGAGAAGGUAUGUCUGGGUUUACGCCACAACUCAAUUUGCAUUGGUGGUCCUAUCUGCUCAUCUUUACUACUCAUCGCUUCAUAUGCAAGGUGUUCUAUCAGUUCUCCUAGCCACGUUCACUGGGUUCGGCAUUACAAUGUGUGGAAGCUCUGUGAUAGGUGAGAUUUGCAGAUGGAGAACAAGGCGUGCUCAAGCAAAUCAACAGCAUGGUUCUCAGGGUGAGACACAGCCACAUCAGCCUCCUACAGCUGCUCAUCAAACUGUGACAAAUCCUAACCCCCAAGACAUUGACAUAGGAGAUUCAGAAACUACACGCGGCGGCUAAUUUGGUGUGCAUUAUGAUGCAUUGCUGCCAUAGCCAAUGGCAAACAAAUGAAGGGUUUCAGC